rnacentral:lncRNA from 1 species
UUAUUAUUUUAUUCUCUUUCUAUUGAUUUCUCCAGUCACAGGUACUUUCAAUAUCUCUCCAUUGGAUCAGCCAAAGAAACAAAAAGGCAACAAGGGCAAAAUUAUUAAAAUUUUGGACAGAUACGUAAAAUGGUGGUCCAAGUCCAACCAUGAUUGGUGAGUUGCCAUUGUGGAACUUCCCAAUUCCCAUUCGUCAUUCUGAGUGCAUGAUUUCACGUCAAUGACAUACGCAAUGACGCUUUUGACUUGAUGGUUUUUCACAAGAGAUUCUCUCUGGC